rnacentral:rRNA from 1 species
ACGAACGCUGGCGGCGUGCUUAACACAUGCAAGUCGAACGGAAAGGCCCGCUUGCGGGUACUCGAGUGGCGAACGGGUGAGUAACACGUGGGCAACCUGCCCUCAGCUUUGGGAUAACUCCCGGAAACGGGUGCUAAUACCGAAUAUUGACUUCUGGUCGCAUGGCUGGUGGUUGAAAGUUUUUCGGCUGAGGAUGGGCCCGCGGCCUAUCAGCUUGUUGGUGGGGUAAUGGCCUACCAAGGCGACGACGGGUAGCCG